GACACAAAACCCGGAAGGACCCCGCCGAAGGUUUUCUCCGGUUCGGGAGAGAGACGGAGUCCCGCUCUGUCACGCAGGCUGCCAGGCUGGCGUACAGUGGCGCAAUCUCAGCUCGCUGCAACCUCCACCUCCUGGGUUCAAGCGAUUUUCUUGCCUCUGCCUCCUGAGUAGCUGGGAUUACUGGCACACACCACCAUGCACAGUUGCAGGAAUUUAGCCAAUUCAGAGGUCUUGUUCUCCAUAAUUUGGAAUUUUCCUUCGGAUUUGAUCAAGUUGGAUAGAGUUGGUCAAACCCAAUGGGAAAAAGAUGAAAACAACAAGAAACAGAAACAAACAGCAACAACAACAACAACAAAAACAAGCAGAGACCGCCGUGUGAAGAUGGAGGCAGAGAUCGGAGAGAUGCUGCCACACGCCACAAAUGCCUGGGGCUCCCAGAAACUACACGGAGCCUCCCCCAGCGGCUUCAGCAGGAGCAUGGCUCGGCCAACACUUUGAUCUUGGUCUUCCAGCCUCCAGAACGUUUUCCUAAAAUUCCCUUUUCCACUGGUGUGUGGUGCAAGAUGAGGCACAUU
rnacentral:lncRNA from 1 species